CUCUCUAAAAAUAUAUACAAUCUUUAAAAAAACACACACACAUCCCCUUUUCACUACUAAAAAUCAGUGUUUUCUCUACAUGAAUCAAAAAUAUUCCUGGGAGAGUUCCACCUUUGUGCACAAUUUAGAAGAAAUAAAAGCCUAGAUAAUACAAAAAGUCUCCAAUGUUCACAUUGAUCAUCACUCAUUCUGGAAGGAAAGAAGGCAGCCAACGAGACAGCUCCACAGGAUCCCAGGGCAGAGAGCUCUUCAACCCACGUGUCCGGUCUGCCUGGCCACAAACUGAAGCCUGCUGGAAAACUCACUUCCCCAUCUCUGUGCCUUGUUUUUUUUUUUCCCUUUCAAAUGAGGAAGUUGUACUAACUAUUGAAGUUCAAUGGAAGCAACAAGUAUUUUUGAGCACCUCCAAGGUGCCAGGCUCUGUGCCAAGCCCUUGAAGUGGGCAGGAAUGCGAUGACAGGGUCCCUGCCGUCACUGAUUACAGACUGCCUGAGGCAGACCUUGCGCAGGAGGGCAGGACAAUGAGAGGACAAGCAACGCCAUUUGGUGUCAUUUCUGAGUCUUCCCGACUGCUCAAAUAGAGAAGUGGCUGCUUCCUCCUCUGGCUCCUAAAGCAUCUUGGAAAUGUUUCAACACUUCCAAGGUAUAUUAAAG